UGGGGAAUCUUGCGCAAUGGACGAAAGUCUGACGCAGCAACGCCGCGUGAGUGAAGAAGGCCUUCGGGUUGUAAAGCUCUGUCGGGCGGGACGAACGGUCAGUAGGUUAAUAGCCUAUUGAAUUGACGGUACCGCCAAAGGAAGCACCGGCUAACUUCGUGCCAGCAGCCGCGGUAAUACGAGGGGUGCAAGCGUUGCUCGGAAUCAUUGGGCGUAAAGGGCAAGUAGGUGGUCUUGUUUGUCUGGGGUGAAAGCCUCGAGCUUAACUCGAGAAGUGCCUCGGAAACGGCAAGACUAGAGUCCUAGAGAGGGUCGCGGAAUUCCCGGUGUAGCGGUGAAAUGCGUAGAGAUCGGGAGGAACACCAGAGGCGAAAGCGGCGGCCUGGAUAGGUACUGACAC
rnacentral:rRNA from 1 species